ACUGGCUGGAUUCCAGAAAUUCUCCCAUUUCAGCACCCAGACUCCAGGCUGUGUGCUGAAUAUCCCGUUCCCUGGUGCUGCCAGCUCCUUGGAGUUCUGUAGGUCACCAUGUAAGACCUUCUCCCUGCACGCCUUUUUUUCUAAUAGAAAUACCUGUUGCCUUUUUCCACAAACGAUCGCAGGAGUUUGCCCAGUGCCUGGCAUCGAGGCGGCCACACCUGGACUUCUACCCCAUUCCAGGCACUGAACCUUCCACUGGACCUGAGAAGUCGGGGUGCUCUUAGCACCGUGUUUCCAGGGAGGACACAGAGGCACAGGGGAGUGAGGACCCUGCGCUGGGUGGUGGCAGAGCUGAGCUUUGAACCCAGGUUUGCGUGACUCCCAGCCCAGGUCCUGUUCUCUCAGGGGCUGCACCCUCCCACUGCCCUUUCUCCUCCCCCUCCCACCCGGCAGGGUUGAGCCAGACUGGGGUUCCAAAGCCCUUCCUCCUUCUCCAUCCAGAGAUAAAUAUUUGUUUCUCCAGUGUAAAUAGCCCUUCGUGUUUAAUGAGGCAAUUCUAGGGCCAUUUCCUGGCACAGCUCAGUGCCUGGAGGUCUCUUUCGCUCUGGGAGGAACAGUCCUAGGAAGAGAGCCGCUAAGGAGGGGCUCAGGGCCUCCGA
rnacentral:lncRNA from 13 species